GUUGGUGAACCAGCGGAGGGAUCAUUACCGAGUCUUACAACUCCCAAACCCCUGUGAACAUACCUAUAUCUUGCUUCGGCGGACCACCCUCGCCCCCCGGCGAGGGCCCGCCAGAGGACCCAAAACCCAACUUUGUUUUUGCCUUACAGUGAACUUCUGAGUGGAUUUUAUAAAUCAAAUCAAAACUUUCAACAACGGAUCUCUUGGCUCUGGCAUCGAUGAAGAACGCAGCAUCUGACUGACUUCGCUC
rnacentral:misc_RNA from 1 species